rnacentral:rRNA from 1 species
CUCAGGGGGGGUGGGAACCCCCUUAAAAGUUUGACCUGGGCCCAGGGGGGCGGGACGACCCCCUAAAAACUAUAAGACUGGAAUAACUCCGGGAAACCGGGGCUAAUGCCGGAUAACAUGUUGAACCGCAUGGUUCUACAGUGAAAGGCGGCUUUGCUGUCACUUAUAGAUGGACCCGCGCCGUAUUAGCUAGUUGGUGAGGUAACGGCUCACCAAGGCAACGAUACGUAGCCGACCUGAGAGGGUGAUCGGCCACACUGGAACUGAGACACGGUCCAGACUCCUACGGGAGGCAGCAGUAGGGAAUCUUCCGCAAUGGGCGAAAGCCUGACGGAGCAACGCCGCGUGAGUGAUGAAGGUCUUCGGAUCGUAAAACUCUGUUAUUAGGGAAGAACAAAUGCGUAAGUAACUGUGCGCGUCUUGACGGUACCUAAUCAGAAAGCCACGGCUAACUACGUGCCAGCAGCCGCGGUAAUACGUAGGUGGCAAGCGUUAUCCGGAAUUAUUGGGCGUAAAGCGCGCGUAGGCGGUUUUUUAAGUCUGAUGUGAAAGCCCACGGCUCAACCGUGGAGGGUCAUUGGAAACUGAAAAACUUGAGUGCAGAAGAGGAAAGUGGAAUUCCAUGUGUAGCGGUGAAAUGCGCAGAGAUAUGGAGGAACACCAGUGGCGAAGGCGACUUUCUGGUCUGUAACUGACGCUGAUGUGCGAAAGCGUGGGGAUCAAACAGGAUUAGAUACCCUGGUAGUCCACGCCGUAAACGAUGAGUGCUAAGUGUUAGGGGGUUUCCGCCCCUUAGGGCUGCAGCUAAAGCAUUAAGCACUCCGCCUGGGGAGUACGGCCGCAAGGCUUAAACUCAAAGGAAUUGACGGGGACCCGCACAAGCGGUGGAGCAUGUGGUUUAAUUCGAAGCAACCGCAAAAAACCUUACCAAAUCUUGACAUCCUUUGACCGCUUUAAAAAAAAAAGCUUCC